AAAUGACCCUCUCCUUUUCCCGUACCAGAAUGCCUCCAAAACUGUCCGACCUGAAGUAAAUGCUGUCGCCUCCUCAGAUGAGGUCUGUGACGGGGACCGGGAGAAGGAGGAACCGCCAUCUCCCAUUGAGUCUACCCCACCUCGAUCCCUCCUGGAGAAAGUGUCCAAAAAAAAGACUUCCAAGACUGUGAAGAUGCCCAAGCCAUCCAAAACCCCCAAGCCCCCCAAGCCCCCCAAGCCCCCCAAAACCCUGAAACUCAAGGACGGAAGCAAGAAGAAAGGGAAGAAGUGCAAAGAGUCCGCCUCUCCCACCAUCCCCAACUUGGACCUGCUUGAGGCCCACACCAAGGAGGCGCUGACCAAGAUGGAGCCACCGAAGAAAGGAAAG
rnacentral:lncRNA from 1 species